GUCCAAACUUGGUCAGAUAGUAGAACUAGUCUAAUGCUUUCAUGGAAACCAAUAGGUAUUCUGUAACCUUAACAUUUACUCAUUAAAUAUCAUUAAUUUAUUUUAAAUGUUGAAGAAGACGAAUGUUCUCAUCGAGACGUUUCACAAGCUGUAUAAAGCAUUCGCACGCGUGUUGUAUAUCAGACAUACAACCUCUCGUCUUCGGCUCGGGUUUGUAUAUCUGAUACAACAUGGCUGAUCAUGCCUUAUCUAUUACUUUAUCUAUUAAAGUGCGACUAACCCCAAAUAUAAUUUUGGUAUGUGUAAUAUUUGGGUCAUUCUGAGAAGAAAUGUAAUGUAUCUCUAUAGUAAAAAAUCCCAUCUUGAUCAACUUUUUCACUGUCAAAGUUCUAGAUAUGAUGUCAUUAAGUGAAUUUUUGCUACAAAAAACAAAGGAAAACCAAUUUGCAAUUCACCUAAUUACAUCAUAUCCGGAAACUCGGACAGUGAGAAAGUUGUUGAUCAAGAUGGGGUUUUUUAUUAUAAAGAUUUACUACAUUUCUUCUUCCGAUGACCCAAAUACUACACAACCAAAAAUCAUAUUGGUCGUACUUUAAAUGAGGCACGAGCCAUAUGUGAAAAUUGAAAAAUAUCAGGUAUC